rnacentral:rRNA from 1 species
AACGAACGCUGGCGGCAUGCCUAACACAUGCAAGUCGAACGACACCUUCGUGUCUAGUGGCGCACGGGUGCGUAACGCGUGGGAACCUGCCCUUAGGUUCGGAAUAACUCCCCGAAAGGGGUGCUAAUACCGGAUAAUUUCUUCGGACCAAAGAUUUAUCGCCUUUGGAUGGGCCCGCGUUGGAUUAGCUAGUGGGUAGGGUAAAAGCCUAUCAAGGCGACGAUCCAUAGCUGGGCUGAGAGGAUGAUCAGCCACACUGGGACUGAGACACGGCCCAGACUCCUACGGGAUGCAGCAGUGGGGAAUAUUGGACAAUGGGCGAAAGCCUGAUCCAGCAAGGCCGCGUGAGUGAUGAAGGCCUUAGGGUUGUAAAGCUCUUUUACCCGGGAUGAUAAUGACAGUACCGGGAGAAUAAGCUCCGGCUAACUCCGUG